rnacentral:misc_RNA from 1 species
CUUAAACUUGACUGAUAUGGGCAAUCUUGUGCUUUUUGAUCAUAAUAAUGCUACAGUUUGGCAAUCUUUUGAUCACCCAACUGAUUCUUUGGUUCCAGGGCAAAAGUUGAUGGCAGGGAAGAAACUUAUUCCUAGUAUUUCUGCUACAAAUUGGACUCAAAACUUGCUUUCAUACUCGGUCACUGAUGAAGGAGCAGUGGCUUCGACAGAGUCUAGUCCACCUCAAGUCUAUGAUGAAUUCACAAUUUCUGGCAGAAAAACUAAUAGAGAACCAACUUAUGUCACCCUUCAGAAUGGAAGCUUUGCUUUGUUCGCCAAUUCUUCUCCGCCAAGUGCGCCAGAUCGCUCCCAAUCCAUUCCCGACGCCUCAUCAGUACAGUAUGUGAGAUUUUGUCCCGACGGGCAUUUGAGACUUUACGAGUGGACAAAAGAUGGGUGGAAACAAGUUGCAGAUCUGCUUUCAGGUCGAGUGAAUGAAUGUUUCUACCCUACAGUUUGCGGGAACUAUGGAAUUUGCUCCAAUGGGCAGUGCAGUUGCCCUUCAACAACUUAUUUUAAGCAAAUAAAUGAUAGGCAGCCUGAUCUUGGGUGUUCUGAAGCUACUUCCUUGUCUUGUCAAGCUUCUCUAUAUCACAGUUUUAUAGAGCUCAUGGAAACAACAUAUUCCUCCUUUCUCAGUGAUCUUGAAAAUGUGGGUUUGGAGAAAUGCAAGGAGGCUUGUUCAAAGAAUUGCUCCUGCAAAGCUGCUAUUUUUCGAUUUGGUUCUGAUUCUGCCAAUGGUGAUUGCUACUUGCCAAAUCAGAUAUUUUCAUUGAUAAACAAUGAUAAUGAAAUAACUCAUUAUAACUCUACUGUAUACUUAAAGGUGCAAAAUGCCCCAUCCCCAACUACAGAAGCAAUAGUUCCUCAGCAGAAAAGGAAAAGGCGGUCGACAAUUAUAUUAUGGUCCAGUGUUGGGAUAUUUUCUGGUUUGUUUCUUGUGAUUGGAAUCUUAGUAUUAUUAGUUUGGAAGAAAAGAAAUGCUGAUGCAGACGAGGAAGAUUACUUGGAUCAAGUACCAGGAAUGCCCACUCGAUUUUCCUAUGAAAAUUUAAAAGCUUUGACGGAGAACUUCUCCAAGGUUCUUGGUGAGGGAGGAUUUGGUUCUGUUUUUGAAGGGACUCUUAUUGAUGGCACCAAAAUUGCAGUGAAGCGUCU